rnacentral:rRNA from 1 species
GACGAACCGAGCGAACGUUAUUCGGAAUCACUGGGCUUAAAGGGCGCGUAGGCGGGCUAUCAAGUCCGGGGUGAAAUCCUCCAGCUUAACUGGAGAACUGCCUCGGAUACUGAUGGUCUCGAGGAGGAUAGGGGCACACGGAACUGUGGGUGGAGCGGUGAAAUGCGUUGAUAUCCAUAGGAACUCCGGUGGCGAAAGCGGUGUGCUGGAUCCUUUCUGACGCUGAGGCGCGAAAGCCAGGGGAGCAAACGGG